GUCCCUGUAGCACAAUGUAUAGCGUAUUGGAUUUCUAAAUUCAAAGAUCAUAAGUUUGAAUCUCACCUGGGAUG